UAUAACGUUUUGUUUAUCAUUAAGUACCUAUAAAUACUAAAGGACCAAUCUUUUAUAAAGCAUAACCAUUAAAAACACAACAAAAAUAAAUUUUUCAAACCAAAUUAAACAUCAUGAAAAUCUUAUUUUAUUUCUCCAUCCUCUUACUUGUUCUUUCCGUUGGUUUUGGAAAUAACCAAUUGCAAGUAAUAGCACAAUCAAACAAAUAUUGUGUUACAGAAAUAGGCAACAUUUAUUGUCUUCCACCUGCAGAACCAGAUGAUUGUUCUAAAGAGUGCACAAGUUUUGUUGGUAGAUCACCAGCCAUAGGAACAUGUAAUAAAUUUACAAACGAAUGCACUUGUGUCUAUCACCCACCAUGUAAGCACCUAUAGGAGUAUGUGAUUGAGCAGUCACAUAUAUCGUUCACCUUUUUCUUCGUGGGGGUAUAUGUAUUCACCUUUUACUAAGUAAAACAAUGGUGAACCAAAUACAACAUCAAACAAAUAAACAAAGUGCGUGAUUGUACUAUUAUUUUCAAUUUAUCAAAUAAUAAUAAAGUAGUGGUUCUAUAUUGUUUAUCAA